rnacentral:lncRNA from 1 species
GUGGAAGAUGGAAGGAUACAAGGGCUAGAAGGUUCUAGUAGCUUCUAGACUAGUAGAGAAGAAGGGAGAUAGAGGAGAGAUCGACAAAGAGGCCAGCCAGCCUCCAGGUCGCCGCCGCCGCCGUUCGCCGCCUUGGCCAAUCAAUCUGUUCGUCCCCUCCUGGAAGUGCUGCUGCUACUUAUAUAUGGUUGCCUCUUGGGCUUGCUUGGACUUCUUGGAAAGUAGCUGAUCCAGCCCAUAUUGCAGCCCACAUGGCUCCUAACAUUCUCCUUCCCUUGAAAUUCGGCUUGUCCCCAAGCCGAUGACUCGAAGCUGUGCAAGCUUCACCCACUUGAUCUCCCCUGUUACUAUUUCUCUUGUAAUGUAGCCAAUAUGACCAUAGGAAACACAACCAGCCAAUGCUUGUAAUAGCCCACAGUGAAAGCCUAGUUCCUUGUUUAAUAGCUAAUGCCAAAUGAGAGCCGCCUGGAUCCCAUGGAACACUCAAUAAAUUGACAAUUACUAAGUUUGCAUAACCAUAUUGCUGCAGGAACAUAACAACCUUCAUGUCCUUGUUAACAGCAAAUGCACACAACCAAAGAUCACGCUUCUUCUGUACCACUCCACUGACUGAAAAUUCUAAAGUCCAAACUGUAUUGCCUUCAUCCUCCAUUACAACAAUAAGCAGUCUAGGAGCAUCAGCAGCAUGGUUUUCUUUGGCAGUGAUGAUCUCAUAAUCACUUGGCUUAAUGCAAUGUGCUCUCAUGCAGGUAGUUAAUUGACAAUUUUCUGGUUGUAGAGCGUAGCUACCAAUCUGACCCAUCUCAGCAUCUGGAUCCCACACUAAUGGCACUAACAGUACUUGCAUGAGUUCCAAUGGGUUCACAAUUAGCAUACUGUUCUUGUAUUGUUUAGAGUUCCAAUCAAGCAAUCCACCAAAAGACCAACCAUUGUGCAUGAAUAGAAUAGACUGAGGAUAGCACUUCUGAACACUACAACCAUACGAAUCCCGGUCACAGAUCAAUUCAAUGUAAUUGACCUCUUGAACCACUAUACCCAGUGUAUUCCAAUCAAACACAACACCUUUCAAGUCUUUAGCCCAUUUCUUUGCUACAUGUGAAGUCCUAGUGAAAAUAUUUUCCAUGUAAAGUGGUCUCACAAUAUGCAGUAUGGCUAUUAGUAAAUGGAAUGUGCUAAUUGCAUUUGGGCCAUACAACCAACAACAGCCAAUACAGCCUUGUCCAAGGUGAGUGUCAGGUACAGCAAUUGAUUGAGCCAAAAAGUGUACCUUAUCUUCACCAAAGUUUUCCAAGAAUUUUUUAGCAACUUGAGCUUCUAUAUAAGCUUGAUGAUGGCUCUUUGGAGAUAUAUCUUGGAUAAGUUUAACAAACAAUCCUGGAAUAGGCCGCAUAAUGCUCAGGUACUGUUUAGAAUCCCAACCAUUCAACAUCUUCAUUUUAGCCUUAGUGGACCAUAUCCUCCUUGACAUAAGCUGUUGUGAUAUCAUGCUUACUGAAUGCUGAAGGAGACCACUCAAGUGCAGCUCAUAUAGCUUAGGAACAAACAAUGACCAUUCUUCACCUAACUCACUCCAAAUCGCUUUCCAGAAUUUUGAAAUUGCUUUUCGAUCCACCAGGAUAUGGGUGAAGCCAUUGAUCAAUAAGGGCAGGAUGUCAUUCUCAUGUGGUGGGGGCCACAGUUCCAACUCAGCCCAUUCAGUUGGUGGUGGCCAAGGAUCAAGUAGAUGUUCUUCAAGCCAACAAUAGAUGAAUGCUGGCCAGGGCAUUGGUCGGAACUCCAGUCCGCUAAUCACUCCACUGUAGGUUGGAGGUGGCCAUGGCUUCAAUUCAAUCCCCUCCAGCCUUAGCUUUUUAUUGAACUGUGUCUUGCUGUCAUAUCGAGGGAUUCUCAACAAACACCCGGUGGGUGUUGGUAUGUCCUGCUUGAGGUCGCUGACCAACCUUGCUGAGAAGAUGUCAAUUGACUCGAUAGAUAUUGGAACAGACUUGGCCACACCUGACAUUGUCAGGAACACGCCCCCGACGUGGUCUGCGCCACCCUUGACAUCAAGGCCUAACAUCGAACAUUUGGUGUGCGUCUCCUUGUGACAGUCAGGGCCAUCAAUUUCAGUGGUGCAGGCGACGUCCUUACCAACUUCCAGGUCCAUGGAGGCCAGAGAAGUGGAGGUGCACGUAACCACUGCUGCCACGGUGAGGUCUGGGAUGUUAUUGGGGUUGGAGCAAUUUGUCAAACACUUGGCGGGCGUUACCAUGGGCUGUACAGGAUUGUAGAUGUAGGUUGCACCGAUUGCGUCCUCAGCAGAUACCAGAUCAACAGAGGUCAUAGAAGUGGUGGCACACGUAACAACCACAUCAACAGCGAGAUUGGGCUCGACAUUGGGGCUGAAGCAUUCUGUCGAACACAUAGUGGGCGUCAUCUUGUACUGCUUGUUUCCAACCAAAAAAUGUGAGUCUUCAGUGUUAUUCUGUACAUGGGGAAUCCAUGAUGCUAACGCUGCCUUGAGAGAUUGGAAAUCAGCUCUCCUUGUCUGCUCUGCCUCCACCCGCCUUCGUUCAAACUCCUCCAUUCGCCUCAAAAUCAUAUCCAACUUAUGUUCACUUGCCAUGGCAGCUUGCUUGGUGAACUCAGUGGGGAUUGUUGGCUCUGAUACCAGAUUGUUAGAGACCCACCCAACAAUGUAAUUUCAGAAAUAGCAGUGCCAAAUCCAACACAGGGAACAACCAAGUCUGUUACAAUAGUGGAGUGGUUUUGAGGUGGAAGAUGGAAGGAUACAAGGGCUAGAAGGUUCUAGUAGCUUCUAGACUAGUAGAGAAGAAGGGAGAUAGAGGAGAGAUCGACAAAGAGGCCAGCCAGCCUCCAGGUCGCCGCCGCCGCCGUUCGCCGCCUUGGCCAAUCAAUCUGUUCGUCCCCUCCUAGAAGUGCUACUGCUACUUAUAUAUGGUUGCCUCUUGGGCUUGCU